ensembl:lincRNA
GCAAUAUAGAAUGUGAUCGUAUAUGAGAGAUGAAUCAGAGAUGUGCCCUGUUCUUGAAAUACUCCUGGAUAGGGUCAUGCUGCAGUUAAAGCAGGUGUUAACUAUGGGGGACCAGUUGACCAGUGAUUAGUUCCGAUUGUUUCCUGCCUUUUAGGUUCCUGGGUAUCACACACUUGGUAACACUUCUGCCUAAGAAAUUAAACUCUCAGCUCUCUGUGGACAUUCCCAUUGGCUAAUCUUCACUUGAACAUACAAUACCUAAAAUAAGAAAUCGGUCAGCUUUGAAUAUCUCGGACUUGUUGACAGAUCGUCUCCAUAUUUCACUUCUGUACNNNNNUAUGUCUUGUAUGUCUGGCUCUUUCAGAUGACAGUAUUUCUUGAGACAUCUUACUGGAGAAGUGGUGCCCAUGCCUAAGAGACUGAGGGGGCAGUAACACCAAUUGACUCUCCUUGCACCAUAUACUGUGCAGUGGAGGUAGGGGCUUGAGAAGCCCCUUGCCAUGGUCACUAGAUGCCACCAGGAGAGGGAAGAACUGUCCAGAGUGAGGAAGUUCUCUAAAUUCCACAUAUAGUCUUCUCCAACAACAAAGGGUCAGGCUCUGGCCCUACUUCUCUGCCAAUCAGCAGGAGCCUCUUCCACCAAGAAGAUCUGAAAACAAGAGGUUUUGGUUCUUAUUCAUGAUCAUGUUUGGAACCAGAUCCAGAUAUGAAUUCAACUGUCAAACACUCCAGAUGUCUCCUUGACUCCACUCAGAGGACAGGUGGUGCACCUCACCUUUCAUGUGGUCAGAUGUCCUACGACAAAAUGUUCACCAUGGCAUGGCCAAUGGCUCCGAUGAAGCAGUAGAAGAGGUGGUUAGUGUUUUCAAAUGAGCGUGGAGACAAAAGAAAACUAAUUUGAAGGACACCUAAAGUCACAUGAAAUAUGCAAGUACUUUGUUUAGCAUGGAGGUUCUCUGGAAAAUUCACUAGCAUGAACUGUACAUAAGUACAUCUCAAAGUGUGUGUGUGCCUGUGUGUCCCUCCAAAAUAGUUUUGAUAUUGAGAAGUGUGCAUCCAUAUGAGGUUGCAAAGCAACAAGCAAACUCAACAACAAUAGUUCCAGUGCUGGGGUGAGUUGUGAAGGUGUCUGAAUCUUGGUGGUUAGGAGCAAGCUGUCCAGCAAGCCAGGAUGGUUUUGAGAGCUGCACCAAAGCAAUGGACUCAACUGUUCCCGUCCACUCUCUUCCCUAUGAGCACAAGAUGGACGCUCAUUGCUCUGUUUCUGACUCCAGCUGCUCAGCUGUCGUCAUCUUGGACACAAUCACAAGGAGUUCAGGAACUCUGGGGUCUUACUCUGCUUCCAGUAUCUACUGUCUCUUCUAAUGGCUCAUGGGUACAUUUGGAGACAGGCAGCUGGCCAUCUUACCAUGCCCGGAAGUUCCUCUAAGCCCGUCUUCCUGAUGGUGACCUGCAUGCAGUGGUACCUUCAUCCCAGGAUUUCUGAGUUACAUGGAGCUCCUCACUUGGCUGGAACAUUUGUGACACUACCAGCCAUCAUGAAACAACCUAGAGCACAGAGAGGGGAGUCAUGAGAUCAGACCUGUCUCCUAGACUCCUUGCUGGGUCCUCAUGCCCCAGAGGACCCGAGAAGGCUAUUACACCCCAAUACACACACUGCUCCUGUGC